rnacentral:rRNA from 1 species
UACGGAGGAUCCGAGCGUUAUCCGGAUUUAUUGGGUUUAAAGGGUGCGUAGGCGGCUUAUUAAGUCAGUGGUGAAAGACGGCAGCUCAACUGUCGCAGUGCCUUUGAUACUGAUGAGCUUGAAUGUUGUUGAAGAUGGCGGAAUGAGACAAGUAGCGGUGAAAUGCAUAGAUAUGUCUCAGAACUCCGAUUGCGAAGGCAGCUAUCUAAGCAAUGAUUGACGCUGAUGCACGAAAGCGUGGGGAUCGAAC